rnacentral:rRNA from 1 species
GUGGGGAAUCUUGCGCAAUGGGCGAAAGCCUGACGCAGCCAUGCCGCGUGGAUGAUGAAGGUCUUAGGAUUGUAAAAUCCUUUCACCGGUGAAGAUAAUGACUGUAGCCGGAGAAGAAGCCCCGGCUAACUUCGUGCCAGCAGCCGCGGUAAUACGAAGGGGGCUAGCGUUGCUCGGAUUUACUGGGCGUAAAGGGCGCGUAGGCGGACAUUUAAGUCAGGGGUGAAAUCCCGGGGCUCAACCUCGGAACUGCCUUUGAUACUGGGUGUCUUGAGUAUGAGAGAGGUGGGUGGAACUCCGAGUGGAGAGGUGAAAUUCGGAGAUAUUCGGAAGAACACCAGUGGCGAAGGCGACACACUGGCUCAUUACUGACGCUGAGGCGCGAAAGCGUGGGGAGCAAACAGGAUUAGAAACCCCUGUAGUCC